rnacentral:rRNA from 1 species
UACGGAGGAUGCAAGCGUUAUCCGGAAUGAUUGGGCGUAAAGCGUCCGCAGGUGGCAAUGUAAGUCUGCUGUCAAAGCGUCUGGCUCAACCAGAUAAAGGCAGUGGAAACUACAUAGCUAGAGUAAGGUAGGGGUAGAGGGAAUUCCUGGUGUAGCGGUGAAAUGCGUAGAGAUCAGGAAGAACACUGGUGGCGAAAGCGCUCUGCUGGACCUUAACUGACACUGAGGGACGAAAGCUAGGGGAGCGAAUGGG